rnacentral:snRNA from 1 species
GGAUGUGAGGGCGAUCCAGCUGUAACAUCAGUCACCCCAUUGAUGGUCAACGUUGAUUCGGCUGGUCUGGCUGGCUAGGUGGGUGACCCCUUCCUCCCCCACUGUUUCAUGUGCGCCCCUCAGAAGCUGCGCACUUGGUCAGCUUGGUCAAGGAGGACGGCCUUCCCCGAAUACAGGUGGACCUGUCCGGUCCAGGGCAUACAUGUAGCUGCGCUUCCCCUGCUAGAAUCUCCAAACAAGCUCACAAGUUACAAUAAUAGUGGCUUGAGUGAGUGCUAACAUAGCUCCUUGGAGUCAUGCAUCCUGUAAAGUUUUUUUUUUCUUUUGAU